GGAGGUGGCAAGCGUUACUCGGAUUUAUUGGGUGUAAAGGGCGUGUAGGCGGUUGCGCAAGUCGAACGUGAAAUCCCAUGACUUAAUCAUGGAACUGCAUUCGAAACUGCGCGACUCGAGUAUGGGAGAGGAGAGCGGAAUUCCCGGUGUAAGGGUGAAAUCUGUGGAUAUCGGGAGGAACACCAGUGGCGAAGGCGGCUCUCUGGCCCAUAACUGACGCUGAGAGGCGAAAGCGUGGGGAGCAAACAGGAUUAGAUACCCUGGUAGUCCACGCUGUAAACGAUGAGCACUAGGUGUUGGUUCGUAUAGAGCCGGUGCCGCAGUUAACACAUUAAGUGCUCCACCUGGGGACUACGAC
rnacentral:rRNA from 1 species